ACCCGCUGAACUUAAGCAUAUCAAUAAGCGGAGGAAAAGAAACCAACAGGGAUUGCCCUAGUAACGGCGAGUGAAGCGGCAACAGCUCAAAUUUGAAAUCUGGCGUCUUUGGCGUCCGAGUUGUAAUUUGCAGAGGGCGCUUUGGCAUUGGCAGCGGUCCAAGUUCCUUGGAACAGGACGUCACAGAGGGUGAGAAUCCCGUACGUGGUCGCUAGCCUUUACCGUGUAAAGCCCCUUCGACGAGUCGAGUUGUUUGGGAAUGCAGCUCUAAAUGGGAGGUAAAUUUCUUCUAAAGCUAAAUACUGGCCAGAGACCGAUAGCGCACAGGUAGAGUGAUCGAAAGAUGAAAAGCACUUUGGAAAGAGAGUUAAAAAGCACGUGAAAUUGUUGAAAGGGAAGCGCUUGCAGCCAGACCUGCCUGUAGUUGCUCAUCCGGGUUUUUACCCGGUGCACUCUUCUAUAGGCAGGCCAGCAUCAGUUUGGGCGGUUGGAUAAAGGUCUCUGUCACGUACCUCUCUUCGGGGAGAACUUAUAGGGGAGACGACAUGCAACCAGCCCGGACUGAGGUCCGCGCAUCUGCUAGGAUGCUGGCGUAAUGGCUGU
rnacentral:rRNA from 1 species